rnacentral:rRNA from 1 species
CGAUUAAACGGGAAGAACCUUACCCAGGGCUUGACAUACACGAGAACGGGCCAGAAAUGGUCAACUCUUUGGACACUCGUGAACAGGUGGUGCAUGGUUGUCGUCAGCUCGUGUCGUGAGAUGUUGGGUUAAGUCCCGCAACGAGCGCAACCCUCGUUCUAUGUUGCCAGCGCGUUAUGGCGGGGACUCAUAGGAGACUGCCGGGGUCAACUCGGAGGAAGGUGGGGAUGACGUCAAAUCAUCAUGCCCCUUAUGUCUUGGGCUUCACGCAUGCUACAAUGGCCGGUACAAAGGGCUGCGAUAUCGUAAGGUGGAGCGAAUCCCAAAAAGCCGGUCUCAGUUCGGAUUGAGGUCUGCAACUCGACCUCAUGAAGUCGGAGUCGCUAGUAAUCGCAGAUCAGCA